rnacentral:rRNA from 1 species
UACGAAGGGGGCUAGCGUUGUUCGGAAUCACUGGGCGUAAAGCGCACGUAGGCGGAUCUUUAAGUCAGGGGUGAAAUCCCGAGGCUCAACCUCGGAACUGCCUUUGAUACUGGGAGACUUCGAGUCCGGGAGAGGUGAGUGGAACUGCGAGUGUAGAGGUGAAAUUCGUAGAUAUUCGCAAGAACACCAGUGGCGAAGGCGGACUCACUGGCCCGGUACUGACGCUGAGGUGCGAAAGCGUGGGGAGCAAACAGGG